UUGCAGGCUGCAACCCGCCUGCAUGAAGUUGGAAUCGCUAGUAAUCGCGGAUCAGCAUGCCGCGGUGAAUACGUUCCCGGGCCUUGUACACACCGCCCGUCACGCCAUGAGAGUCGGGAACACCCGAAGUCCGUAGCCUGACCGCGAAGGGGGCGCGGCCGAAGGUGGGUUCGAUAAUUGGGGUGAAGUCGUAACAAGGUAAC
rnacentral:rRNA from 1 species